rnacentral:lncRNA from 1 species
CGAAAAACGAGAUGCUUUCGGAGGAUCUCAAAAAUGUUUCGAGCACUUUGUCAAAAGUGAAAUUGCAACUUCAGAUGGAGCUGCAACAGCAUGACGAAGAGAAAGAGAAGAAUGUUGAGAGCUGCCAACAAGUCGAGAUGCUUUCGCAACGUUUGAUUGCGAAAGAUGAACAAAUCAGUGAGAUUACUGCGAAAAAUGAGGUGUUUUCGAAGGAUCUCAAAAAUGUUUCGAUGAUGUUUUCAGAAAUGCAACUGCAGCUUCAGAUGCAGCUGCAAUGGCAUGAGGAAGAGCAAAAGAAGAACGUUGAUUGCUGCCAACAAGUGGAGAUGCUUUCGCAGCAUUUGAGUGCGAAAGAUAAACAAAUCAGUGAAAUUACUGCAGAAAAAAUGGUGCUUUCUGAGGAUCUCAAAAAUGGUUUGAAGAAGUUUUCAGACAUGCAACUGCAGCUUCAGGUGCAGCUACAAUGGCUUGAAGAACAGCAUAAGAAGAAGAACGUUGACUGUUGCCAACAAGUCGAGAUUCUUUCACAACGUUUGAUUGCGAAAGAUGAACAAAUUGGUGAGAUUACUGCGAAAAACGAGGUGCUUUCGGGGGAUCUCAAAAAUGUUUCGAGCAAGUUUUCAGAAAUGCAACUGCAGCUUCAGAUGCAGCUACAACGGUUUGAGGAAGAGCAAAAGAAGAACUUUGACUGCUGCCAACAAGUCGAGCUGCUAUCUCAGCAGUUGAAGGCAAAGGAGUGUCAAUGGAAACAGCAGCUGCAGGAACAGCGACAGAGGCAGGAGCAACAAGAUGAUGAGCACCAGAAAGAAGUAAGCAACCGUUAUGUCAUUUGGGACUUUUUUGAUACGAUCUAAUCUUUGAACCCAAAA